UACGUAGGGUGCAAGCGUUAAUCGGAAUUACUGGGCGUAAAGCGUGCGCAGGCGGUUGUGCAAGACAGAUGUGAAAUCCCCGGGCUCAACCUGGGAAUUGCAUUUGUGACUGCACGGCUAGAGUGUGUCAGGAGGGGGUAGAAUUCCACGUGUAGCAGUGAAAUGCGUAGAGAUGUGGAGGAAUACCGAUGGCGAAGGCAGCCCCCUGGGAUAACACUGACGCUCAUGCACGAAAGCGUGGGGAGCAAACAGG
rnacentral:rRNA from 1 species